rnacentral:misc_RNA from 1 species
GUCUGAAUUAAUUAAAAGCUGAAAAGGCUUGAAUAACUGAAACUUAUGAUUAAACUACUAACAGAAAUGAAAGGUCCUUUUGCAACUGAGUUCUAAUUUGCUGAUAACAUAGGGUGUAGACUUGCUCUUCUUGGCUUUGGUGGUACUGUAGAAAAGUGAAUGAGUAGUCCUGGUUUUAAUGAAGAGAUGGCAACAAUCAUGAGCGUCAACAUGGGCCAAAAUGGGAUAGAAUGAUACCAAUAGUCCUUGAAUUCUGUUUUUCCGGAUUGAUGAAGAACAAAAUGGGCCAGAGAGAUGUUACCUUGUAGGUUCAUCUUGGUAAGCUGUAAUCUUGUGAUUAAGCCGAAAUCCGAAAUUCAAUUGCAAAGAUUGAAGAGGACUAGUCAGUCUGCCAUAGGAAUCGGCUUCCAUUAUUUAACAUUGGAAACCGAGAUUGGCUUGAUGGCUGCGAAUGAUGCCUCUGAUGGAGCAGUCAUACACGAAAAUCAUCAACUUCCCACUUCCCUUCCGAGUGAAAUGAAGUUGGAGGUGGUCGAGUAAUUUUGGUUUUCUAUGCAUGUGGCCUUCUCAGGUAUUCAUCCAAGGAGCAAAGGGCUUAUUUAUUGAUAGAGAAUAGAGAAGAUUGUAGUUGAAAUAAGCAAAAGUAGAAUCUUCACAGCAACACAAGAAGAUGAAGAUGAAGAGAGACAAAAUCGAUUUUUGGAAUAGCAGACUUACCGACUCUCAUGACAAAUGAAAGAAGACAAACUAUCACUUGCUUUCACGUUGCCACCGCCCCACGCAGCCAGAUUUUGGUCCUUUCCCUUUGACGUUCAGAUCAAAAUUAAUUAAAUUUAA